GACGUAGGGGACGAGCGUUGUCCGGAUUCAUUGGGCGUAAAGCGCGCGUAGGCGGUUUGGUAAGUCGGAUGUGAAAACCCGGGGCUCAACUCCGGGCCUGCAUUCGAUACGGGCAGACUAGAGUUCGGUAGGGGAGACUGGAAUUCCUGGUGUAGCGGUGAAAUGCGCAGAUAUCAGGAGGAACACCGGUGGCGAAGGCGGGUCUCUGGGCCGAUACUGACGCUGAGGAGCGAAAGCGUGGGGAGCGAACAGG
rnacentral:rRNA from 1 species